rnacentral:rRNA from 1 species
GUGAGGAAUAUUGGUCAAUGGGCGAGAGCCUGAACCAGCCAAGUCGCGUGAAGGAUGAAGGUUUUAUGAAUUGUAAACUUCUUUUGCAGGGGAAUAAAGUACGGUACGUGUACCGUUUUGUAUGUACUCUGCGAAUAAGGAUCGGCUAACUCCGUGCCAGCAGCCGCGGUAAUACGGAGGAUCCAAGCGUUAUCCGGAUUUAUUGGGUUUAAAGGGUGCGCAGGCGGGUUGAUAAGUCAGCGGUGAAAGUUUGCAGCUUAACUGUAAAAUUGCCGUUGAAACUGUCGAACUUGAGUGCAAAUGAGGUAAGCGGAAUGUGUUGUGUAGCGGUGAAAUGCUUAGAUAUAACACAGAACACCGAUUGCGAAGGCAGCUUACUGGGAUGCAACUGACGCUCAUGCACGAAAGCGUGGGGAUCAAACAGGAUUAGAUACCCUAGUAGUCC